UCCUCGAUGGUCUAGUGGUCAUGAUUUCCGCUUGUCAUCCGCAAGAUAACAAGCGCGGGAGACCUGGGUUCGAUUCCCAGUCGGGGAG